GCUUACGACCAUAUCACAUUGAAUGAAUCAGUUCUUGUCCAAUCACCGAAGUUAAGCAACAUCAAGCCUUAGUUAGAACUUGGAUGGGUAACCACUUCGGAACCUAGGUGCUGUAAGCA
rnacentral:rRNA from 1 species